rnacentral:rRNA from 1 species
GUGGGGAAUUUUGGACAAUGGGCGCAAGCCUGAUCCAGCAAUGCCGCGUGCAGGAAGAAGGCCUUCGGGUUGUAAACUGCUUUUGUACGGAACGAAACGGUCUUGGUUAAUACCUGAGGCUGAUGACGGUACCGUAAGAAUAAGCACCGGCUAACUACGUGCCAGCAGCCGCGGUAAUACGUAGGGUGCAAGCGUUAAUCGGAAUUACUGGGCGUAAAGCGUGCGCAGGCGGUUAUGUAAGACAGAGGUGAAAUCCCCGGGCUCAACCUGGGAAUGGCGCUUGUGACUGCAAAGCUGGAGUGCGGCAGAGGGGGAUGGAAUUCCGCGUGUAGCAGUGAAAUGCGUAGAUAUGCGGAGGAACACCGAUGGCGAAGGCAAUCCCCUGGGCCUGCACUGACGCUCAUGCACGAAAGCGUGGGGAGCAAACAGGAUUAGAAACCCCUGUAGUCC